ACUAGAUACAGGUGAUGGGGGGAGGAAGGCAGCAAACCACCUUGCCAGGUAUGCACCUAUGCAACAAUCCUGCGUGAUCGGUACAUAUACCCCAGAAUCUAAAGUACAAUAAAAAAAAAAAGAAAGAAUCCCAGUUUCUAAGAACCACAGACUUCAUCUGGAUGGCACUGAUCACAAGAGCAGGAAUAACAUACAGGAGAACAUGGAAAAACAAAAACCAGGACUAGUAAAUUUGUACUGGAUAGGCUAGGCACCUGCACUUAAGCUUGUUUGAUCUUGUUCUAACACUGAGGACAAUUGAAUAAAUCUUUUGCUUAUUCUUAUAUUAGGUUGAUUGACACCUGAUCUACUGGGAAGAGAAAUAGAGUGUAAAAUUGACUGGCUAUUUUUGUCCCUAUCUUUGUCAUUUCUGAUUGUACUAACAAUUUUCUCAAUUGAACCAGAGAAAUGAAAAUUUUGUAUUUGAAUAUGAAGUUAUCCUAAUUCCUCCAUUUCACAAAUUUAUUGAGCAUUUUCCCAGGUGUUGUGAAGUUUAUAAAAAUAAAAGACAGAUCUCUGCUCUUAACAAUCUAGCAAAUAUCAAAUCUUUUUAUGAAGUUCAUCUAAUUGGAUUUUUUAUUCAAUGUCAUUCCUCUGUGGUGAAAGUAUAGGCAAUGUUUUGGAUAGUCGAACAAAUUGAUGCACACAAUAAACAAACAUUUAUUGAGCACCUACUCUAUGAAAGUCUCUUUGCUGGGCAGUAGAAAUACAAAUUUAUAUAAUACCUAAUCCCUGCCUCAAGGAGUUUGUCUUCUGUUGCACUUAAUAGGAGAAAGGACUUUACUCCAUUUAAAGUCUUCCAUUUGGAGGGAAUAAAAGAAGGCUGUGAGACUAGGAAUAGGGAGUUGUCAAGAGGUGCAGAGAAAAUGAGGCCAACUUACUUUCUGGGUUUUCAGUCCUUCAGGAUGAACAGUGGGUUUGUGGCAGGGAAUGGGAUUCUACCUUACUCUUCUUGGAUGUAGCUCAGGGAGCAGUACCUAAAGGGAACUCUUAUUUCCUGUGUUGUUUGUUCCCUGACAUUUCCAAUUUCCAUCAGGGGACCUUUGCCAGUUUUGCGCUUUGCCUUUAUUGUAAAAUUAACUUCUCAAGAAGGUUGUAAGAUGCAGUAGACAUCUGGUGUGAAUGCUGAGGGCUGUCCUUGCCAGCUGAGUGCUCCUGAUGUGAUGAAAUUGAGUAGUCCUGCUCUCUUUGCUUUGAGGAACAGGGAGGCCAGGUCCCAGAUGAGGAAUUUGUCUAUCCAGGUCCUCUUCUCCUCUCUAAAUACAUGAGCAUUCAUAUUUUAUUUGUCAUUUGACUUCAAGUAAAGCUAACCAGGCUUAUGGCAGAGGAAAGAGACUGUGACCCAUUAGGAUUAUUCUUUCUCUUUCCUCAAGAGGGUUCAGGCAGGAAGUGCUAACAGGCCUCAAAAGGACUGGGCAGAAGAGAUACAGAGACAGAAAAUCAACAGCUACCAGCUAUUGCUCAUUUCUAAAGCAGAGGCAUUUUUACUUAAGAAAUUUCAAAAAGUACUCCAAAAUAAAUGUGAACACAUAUACUUGAGCAACCUACAGCAUUUUCUCAGACUACGUGUCUCCUGAGGAAAAUUUGAAGUUUUUGCUUUUGGCUAGUCAGAACCUGUCCUCCUGCCCACCUUCCCUCGCCAAAGCUUUGAUCCUAAAGGAUCACUCCAGCAUUCCAAACUUAAACUCACAAUAGCAGACCUUGUGGUAGACGUGUUUCACAUUUGUGAUAUGCCUAAUUCACACCAACUCUCUCAAACCACAUUCAGUAUGAGGUACAAACCACGUGUCCAUUCCCAUUUUACCAACCCUCAGUCCCAGCCCCCAACAUCACAAAAUGUUUUUUUCCCUUAAACUUCCUACCUAUUCAUCAUGUUUCAAGAGCUCCUAAAAUUUAAGAUCUCCUCAAAAGCAUUUCUCACUUCAACUGGAACUGAGAUGGAAUUUACUCCAGCUUUAGACUUCCAAGAUAAAACCCACACCUUCAGCCACACCAAAAAUUACAAAAACUACAAUAAUUUGGAUGGAACUAUUGCCUUCUCAAGCACUCAAAGCAUUUAAAAAAUCAUUAUGUAUUGUUGGUGUAUUCUACAAGAUAAAAAAUAUUGUGUUCUCACUUGGCAAAGAACAAAACUGGAGUAGGCAUUCUGUGGCAUAGCUAAGAUUCCUCAGCAUCAUCCAGCAGGCAGGGCAAGGAGAGAACCUACUGAUUCUCAAAAAUAAUGAACUAUUUGUAGCAGGCCCAAAGCUUUCCGGGGUUCUACAGUAUCUUAGUAGUUACUGUACUUUAUGACCAUGGAUUUUUCUUAGUUCUUAUUCUCAUAUGGAUGUUAAAAUUAUUUUAAAAUGUUCUCUCCUUCCAAACAUAUACCCAUUUCUCUCCCUCCAAACACAUAUAUAUUUCACCUACCACACUGCAAGGACUGUUUCUGAAAUUCCGAACAUGGGUGUUAGAGAAGAAGGAGACUUCCUUCUUUCUCCUCCCCUGCCCUCAUAUUUAUCUUCUGGAAUGAAGGAUGAUUGAUAUUUACCAAUUGUCUAAUGCGAGAUGUUUUAAAUUUAAUUUUAUUUAAUAUUUGUAACAAUGUUACUUUGGGAUUAUUUCACCUCAGAAAGAUUAAAUGCCUCAUCUAUUCUCACAGCUUGCGCGAUGCAAGGAUGGAAGAACACAGGGCUCAGAGCUUAGCAAGAUGCACGGCUGAUCUAGGAGCACCCAAGGUCUCACCCAUUCCAAAACCUGUAUAUUGUUUCUGUUGUUUUUCUUUCAAGUUUAUUUAUUUUAAACAGAUUUUGACCAUUCUAAUCUCCUUUGGAUAGGUGCUCAAAAAUACGAUCAAUCCCAUGUCUUGAUUACAAAUAUCAUUGACAAACGUAUUCAAAGAAUCUGAUUGCCACACUUGUGAAACUAUAAUUUUCUGAUGGGCUCAAAUAACUUUUCCAAAGGUAAGAUCUCUUUAACCAUAAGUUUAUUAUUUUUGUAUUAGAAGCAUAAGUGGGGCAUGGAAAUUUAUUCUUUGCUUUUUAAUGCUUCCAAAGGCAGUCUUUAUUGCUAUAUUGGGUCUGUGAAGAACACAUACAAAGGCACUUCUCAACUGGCACUCACAAAUAGAAGCUUUGAAAAUAUGCACCUAUAAAAUGCAUGCAUUUCCUGAACUGGUAGCUGCUUUAUUCAACAGACCAUUAAAAACCCACUUAGAGGACUCUCACAAACUCAUGUGCACUGCAGGUCCUUAAAGCUGGUGAACCCAGCAUAGUGAGAAACAAAGCAAAACAAAAAAGUGGACCGACAUCUACUAAAAUUUACACAGAGAAAACAACCUCUUUCCCCAAACCCAAAUUUCCUCCAACACUAACAUUCUUAUAAAGAACAGGUAAUGUGACAAAAUUGCCUCACUUCCAAUCCCCCUGCCCAAAUCCAACAUCCCUCCUGCCUUCCAAAUAUCAAUCAUCAGCCCAGGCAAGGCAAAUGAACUUUUAAUCAAUAACAGCUACUGUUUCUUGUACCAGGACUGUUUAUGAUUUAAAAGGGAAAAAAUUAAAUCAAUCAUGAUGUGAAUGUUUUCUCUAUUGAAGAGAACAACACCCUGUGUCAAAGAAAGGGGGUAGUUUCACAUGUUUUAAAAAUACAUUACAAAAAUAAAUUUAAAAUUUUUGGUGUGUGCAUUGGCUACGGAAAAAAAAGUAACUGUGAGAUGCUAUGGAUUAUAGGCAAGUGCCUUUAAUCUGUCUUCACACCAUUGUAUUUCCUGUUUACAUUCAUACAUUGGUGUAGAUUAAUAGAACUAGAAGAGAAUUCUGGAAAUGUCAGUCCAAAGACAGCUGUCUUGGGAGAACUACUGCUGAAGGUGUUCAGGCAUAGGUACAAGGGUCUAUCACUUAGGAAGUUGUAGAUAAAAUCUGGACAACAGAAAGUUUUAUAGACUAUAUUUGUGGAUGGGAUUGAUUGUAUAUGGAGAUCUAGUAUAUAGAACCUACAAAAGUAGGUCUACUCUCGUUGAAGAUUCUUGCCCCUUUCUCUAUUCAUAUCUAAAGGGCAGCCCUAGUCUGGAAUUUACAGAGUUCUGCCUAAGAGGCUUUUAAACCCCAGCACCAGAGACCUUUAAGCACCCCAUGUAUUCUGAUUCUCACCUCAAUGUUCCUUCCAUUACUCUAGGCCACAUCCAGGUAGGUCUGACUGAACACCAUAAAUCCUAAUAAUACUGCAUCUCAAGUAUCCCUUUAGCCAGAGAGAAAUCAAAUGGGGCUCUUUAUGAAGUCUGCUGCAUUAUUUUGGCAUGUUUGUACAAAACCAGAAAUAACUUCCCUGAAGAUUGCUAAAACGAAAUCAUCUUUCACCCAACUGAGAAAGGCUACACAGGCUUAUGCCCAGUUUUAAAGAGUAGUGUGAUUGGUGGGGGAAUGAUGACGGGAGUGAUUUCUUGACUGUUUUCUUUUACACUUUGCUGAAAUGGAACAAAUCAAUCCUGUCUUGAUUAUUUAUAAAACCUUAACACCAACAAGGUGGGGUAAACUAAUGAAACAGGCGCAAGGAAUGUGGGAACUUUCGUUUCUAAACUGCUGGCACACAGACAUGUAUUAGUGUCUUGUAGCUUUUAAAGGCCUUGAAGAAAUGAGUUUUCUGCCUCCAACAACUGUUGGUAGAAAACAAGCACUUGUACCUGAUUGUUUACUACUGUAACUGGCAACCAGGGGAAGAAGGAUCCAGCAAAGAAGCCUAUGUUUUUGAAGAAGAAGAACAGUAUAUCCUCAUAUAUACUUUGAAGAACACGAUAACUGUAGGCCCUUAGAAAAUAGUGACCAUAUGACUAGUAACACAAAAGAUUUUGUAACAGACUUAACAGGGCAUAUUUAAUCCUUGUACUACCUCUAUGAAUUUAAUAUUUUCUGCAUGUUACAGAUGAGGACACUAAGUCUCUAAAGGAUCAAGUGGCUUGUUGAAAGACUGUUAAUUAUUGUGCAGGAGACCACACAUGGAUUCUCAGUUUCCAAAGCACACUGGGCUGGAGAUCACAGUGUUACUAAAAUGCCACUCUCAGAAAUGCUUUGGGAAGAAUAUAGCACUAAUAAAUAAAGGAAACUACACUGGAAGAGGGAGGAAGAGGGAAGAUGGUGCUGUAGGACCAACUCAGGAUUGCAGCUCCCAGUGAAUCUGCAGAGGUGAAAGAGACUGAGGUGCAUAAAGAUGAAGGAUGGAACUGUACUGUAUAUCACUGUAUAUGACAAUAUAUGAAGUCCCAACUAUUCCCAAAGAAUUGUUUCCUCUGGUUCUUCCCAGGAAGCUAAGAAACAUAUAUUUUAAGAAAUUGUUGAAGAUUUCAUGGCUGAUAAGUGGUAGAAUGCAGAUUUGAACAUUGUUGUGUCUGCUUCCAAAGCAUGCUGAAUGCCCAAGCAAUAAUUCUUGCACCAAGUCGCCUCCAAGGAGAGACCCUGGACAAUGACAAUCUCUGGUGUCAACUAAGAUUCUUAAGAACUGUAUCCUGGUUGUGAUUCCUAUGUCACCUGAAGGGACAUGGAUGAAUCUGGAGAACGUCAUCCUCAGCAAACUGACACAAGAACAGAAAAUGAAACACCGCAUAUUCUCACUCAUAGGUGGGUGAUGAGAAAUGAGAACACAUGGACACAGAAAGGGGAGUACUAAACACUGGGGUCUA